GACGAACGCUGGCGGCGUGCUUAACACAUGCAAGUCGAGCGGUAAGGCCCUUUCGGGGGUACACGAGCGGCGAACGGGUGAGUAACACGUGGGUGACCUGCCCUCAGCUCUGGGAUAAGCCUGGGAAACCGGGUCUAAUACCGGAUAUGACUCCAUGACGCAUGUUGGUGGGGUGGAAAGCCUUGUGCGGCUGAGGAUGGGCCCGCGGCCUAUCAGCUUGUUGGUGGGGGAUGGCCUACCAAGGCGACGACGGGUAGCCGGCCUGAGAGGGCGACCGGCCACACUGGGACUGAGACACGGCCCAGACUCCUACGGGAGGCAGCAGGUGGGGAAUCUUGCGCAAUGGGACGAAAGCCUGACGCAGCGACGCCGCGUGAGGGAUGACGGCCUGGUGU
rnacentral:rRNA from 1 species